GCCAGUGUGGUAUAGUGGUUUGCAUGUUGAACUAGGAUUCUGGGAGGUCAGGGUUUAAAUCCCUGCUUGGACA